UACAGCAACAGAACACAUGACUUGUGAAGUCCCUGUGAACGAAUGGUGAGAACGCAUCUUGACCAGUUUCUAGAGUUAAAUACAGAUAGAUAUGAUAGCAUCGUUAAGGAGAACGAAGAAAAGGAUUCACAAGAAAUGAAACAUUUGGCAACUUGCCCCAGAACUGGAAAGGCAAGAAAGACUAAAUAUGCUAAAGGAGUAAAAUGAAGUUCACAAGAAAUUAGAAUUCAGACAUGUGCUGCAGCUAGAAACACUGAAACAGAUAUAUGUAACAUGUGGGAAUAUUUUGCAUAUAAAAUUUAGAGAAUGAAUCAAUGGCAAUGAAUGGGGAUAGGACAUAUCUUAUUUACUAGAAAGUGUUUCCUGGCAUUCCUGAGGAACUUGAAGGCUGUUUGUUUAAGAUAAGAAAACAACUUCAGCAUGCAAGAAAGAAGAUCCGCAGUUUGGAAUCAAAUAUUGGACAUUAAUUUAAUUCAUUUUUGUUGCUGUAUACAAUUCUAUUUAUUUGAAAAUUAAAGUUGACUAAAACAUAA